AUUUUAGUUGCUAGUUGUUAGCCAGCUGCUACACGUCGGGACAGCACACAGACACACACACCCCGGCCGACUCGUCCACUCUCCUCCGCUUUGCUAGCAUGUCCCGUCCCCAGAACAAUCAUAAGGAAAGCGUGAGAAUCGGGUCAGUCUCCUGAGGAGUAACAAGAUGAAAAAGCGAUGAAUAAAUGAGGCCAGAGAAAGAAGAAGAAAGAGCAGGCCUCCUGGUUAUAUCCGUGCAUGCCCUCGAACAGGGAGAGAUGAGAGAGGAAGUCAAAAAAGAGAGAGAGAGAGCGAGAGAAGGAGGCUCCAGGCAAACUGACAACAAGUGUUUCGUGUUUGAUUCUUUUCUUUUGCCUUCGUCUCUUCUGCGCUUUCAAUUUGCCACCCCAGAGAACAACAACUUGACCCGGAUAUUUGACGGAUUCAGAAAAUAACAAAGAGGACUUUCUGGGAUUGACCUUCAUCAGCCGGGGCCAAGCAGAGCGAGAAAGAAAAACACAAAGCAGGCAGAGAGAGGACAGCGUCUGGUCCUCCAAUUACUGUUUUUAGAUUUCUGUCUGGGUUGCUGACUCCUGCCUGCCUCCCUCCCGGCCUGCCUUGUUUUGCUGUCUCUUUGUCUCUCUUGCCUCUCUUUCUCACCGUCCACCUGGCCCGCUGACAGUCUCAUUUUGUGUUUCAUUUUGUUUGUCAUCUGUCAGUUGAGUAUCUCAUUUGUUAUGUUUACAUGCAGAGAAUCAACGUGCCGACAAGCCGACCACUCCGAUUGUUUAGACGAACCCUUUUCAUUUGAAUCUUUCACACGCUUUAAUUGACUCUGUUGACAAGUUAAUCAAAUGUACAAGGACCACAGCUGGAACGGUCUGCGAGCCAAAAUGUAACGUCUUUAACUGUGGGUAGUUUCAGUAACUGUCUGUUGUUAUGUUUUAUAUUGCAGCAGUCCAUGAUUUUCAUUCAUCUGCAGCAAUGAGGAACUUUCGCUAACUCCUGUUCAUUUUUAACUAUGACCACGACCUCCCCCGAAGCUUUACAAACUGCUUUUAGUUGUCAAUGUCCAUACAAACUAAAAUGAUGCUUCAGUUUCCACAUGUAUAUUGUAGGAAAAACAUAUGAAACACGAGGAAAC